CUACAGUGAAUUAAGCUGACUGUGCUUUUCCCCCACAGGGCCCCAGUGUGCAUUGGCUGCAUACAGUAGCCUCUUUGGUAGUGUAUGCGGCCUGUUGAUUGUAUGGGUUGCCCUAGGGGACAUCGCUUUCCAGU